rnacentral:tRNA from 1 species
AUUAUGGCUCAGUGGUAGAGUGCUUGCCUAGUACAUGUGAGGCACUGGGUUCGAUCCCCAGCAUAACA